rnacentral:lncRNA from 1 species
GUUGUUCGAACGCUAAUCAACAAUGAUCAUUAUCAAAUAUUUAAUUACUGCCACCAAAACUGUCAAUGUCAACUUUGUUUGGGUUGCUGAAAACAUAAUUAAUUACAAUUAUGAGAUUUAUUAUUAAUUAUGUUAAUAAUUAUUGUUAUAUUAAUUGAUUAUAGACUCCACAGACUUUUUAACAACCCAAAAAAAGUUGACAUUGACAGUAAUUAAUUAUUUGAUAAUGAUCAUUGUUGAUUAGCGUUCGAACAACCGGCCCUUUUAUAGUCACAAACACGAAACACAUCAACAAGUCACGUUCGUAAGAGUUCGUUGCGCAUGAUUCAUUUUCCGUCAUUUUGUUUAUGAUUUUGUCCUGUUUUGUUUUUUUUUAAAUUGAGGUAAUUUUAUGACCAGUGAUAUGGCUAAGACAGAUAGACUAUUAUUGAAAUGGAACAACAUACAAUAAUAUGUAGAACAUGUUGUGUUGGUGGUUGUACCUUCUCCACAUCGAUUACGUUUUCCAGAGAUGAAAUGGACAUGUUCUUGGAAGGGUUGAAACUUAUUCAAAGCAUUUUAAAGAAGAUUUUAGGAUACAUGAGAGUUCGAACAAGAGGAAUUACCAAAGCUCAUUUUUACCACCACUAGGUAAGAACCACAUAGGACAAAUAAUUAAAUUUUGAUAGAGCUAAAAGUUAGCCAACGCCUAUCGAGUAAAGUACAUAUCCAACAAUUAAAAUACUUUGGAUCAAUCAAAUUACAGGAAUAUGCAAAAGACCUAUGCAUGAGUUAAAAGAAAUGACCAGAGACAGAGAUCUUUUUAGACAGACAAUAUAUGAUAUCACGUCGACCACUACAUUCCCCCCCGGGGGUCAGGAUUGAAGAGAGAGGCGUCAACGCCCUUCGGUAGGGAUCUAUGGAGGAGUAUCACCAAGCCGCAAGCCCUUAUCCCUUGCCGUACCGCUUCUCCAUAGGCCGAUCAGAUGCCAGUUUAUUCCAGACAAGGCCGUAGACUCUAUCGAGUUUUAUACUACGGCAUCGGCCUUUUAAUAAUUUCUUGACCUGGCUGAGGCUUGAACCAUCGAUCGCAAACCACUAUACUUGUCAAUCGACUGCGCCUUUGCCAACUGAACCGUCUAGACUGACAUUUUGAAGAUAAUUAUUGUAAUACUACUAUUCCAUUAUUAGAAAUUUUGUUGGGAUUUCUCCGCAAUAUAUUACUUAUUUGAGUUCAUUUCUGAUAAUAAUAAAGGUCCAGAUAUUUAUGUUUUACUCAAAUAGAUUUAUUUAUUUGUCAUGUUUUAUAAUUAUUGUAUUUAAA